GACGAACGCUGGCGGCGUGCUUAACACAUGCAAGUCGAACGGAAAGGCCCCUUUGGGGGUACUCGAGUGGCGAACGGGUGAGUAACACGUGAGUAACCUGCCCUUGACUUCGGGAUAACUUCAGGAAACUGGGGCUAAUACCGGAUAGGAAUCCUUGCUGCAUGGUGGGUGUUGGAAAGCUUCGGCGGUUUUGGAUGGACUCGCGGCUUAUCAGCUUGUUGGUGGGGUAGUGGCUUACCAAGGCUUUGACGGGUAGCCGGCCUGAGAGGGCGACCGGCCACAUUGGGACUGAGAUACGGCCCAGACUCCUACGGGAGGCAGCAGGGGGGAAUAUUGCACAAUGGGCGGAAGCCUGAUGCAGCAACGCCGCGGGCGGGAUGACGGCCUUCGGGUUGUAAACCGCUUUCAGCAGGGGCGAAGCUUGUGGUGACGGUACCUGCAGAAGAAGCACCGGCUAACUACGUG
rnacentral:rRNA from 1 species